rnacentral:misc_RNA from 1 species
GAAAUGCGAUAAGUAAUGUGAAUUGCAGAAUUCAGUGAAUCAUCGAAUCUUUGAACGCACCUUGCGCUCCUUGGUAUUCCUUGGAGCAUGCCUGUUUGAGUAUCUUGAAAUCUUCAAAGUAAAUCUUUUGUUAACUCAAUUGGUUUCUACUUUGGUAUUGGAGGUCUUUGCAGCUUCACACCUGCUCCUCUUUGUUCAUUAGCUGGAUCUCAGUGUUAUGCUUGGUUCCACUCGGCGUGAUAAGUUAUCUAUCGCUGAGGACACUGUAAAAGGUGGCCAAGGUAAAUGCAGAUGAACCGCUUCUAAUAGUCCAUUGACUUGGACAAUACUUUUAUGAUCUGAUCUCAAAUCAGGUAGGACUACCCGCUGAACUUAAGC